rnacentral:rRNA from 1 species
GACGAACGCUGGCGGCGUGCCUAAUACAUGCAAGUAGAACGCACAGUUUAUACCGUAGCUUGCUCCACCAUAGACUGUGAGUUGCGAACGGGUGAGUAACGCGUAGGUAACCUGCCUGGUAGCGGGGGAUAACUAUUGGAAACGAUAGCUAAUACCGCAUAAUAUUAAUUAUUGCAUGAUAAUUGGUUGAAAGAUGCAACUGCAUCACUACCAGAUGGACCUGCGUUGUAUUAGCUAGUAGGUGAGGUAACGGCUCACCUAGGCGACGAUACAUAGCCGACCUGAGAGGGUGAUCGGCCACACUGGGACUGAGACACGGCCCAGACUCCUACGGGAGGCAGCAGUAGGGAAUCUUCGGCAAUGGACGAAAGUCUGACCGAGCAACGCCGCGUGAGUGAAGAAGGGUGUCGGAUCGUAAAGCUCUGUUGUAAGAGAAGAACGGGUGUGAGAGUGGAAAGUUCACACUGUGACGGUAUCUUACCAGAAAGGGACGGCUAACUACGUG